CUUAGGGGGCCUGAGAAGGGGAUCCCCCACACUGGUACUGAGACCCGGACCAGAUUCCUACGGGAGGCAGCAGUGAGGAAUUUUGGACAAUGGGUGAGAGCCUGAUCCAGCCAUCCCGCGUGAAGGACGACGGCCCUAUGGGUUGUAAACUUCUUUUGUACAGGGAUAAACCUUUCCACGUGUGGGAAGCUGAAGGUACUGUACGAAUAAGCACCGGCUAACUCCGUGCCAGCAGCCGCGGUAAUACGGAGGGUGCAAGCGUUAUCCGGAUUUAUUGGGUUUAAAGGGUCCGUAGGCGGACUCGUAAGUCAGUGGUGAAAUCUCACAGCUUAACUGUGAAACUGCCAUUGAUACUGCGGGUCUUGAGUGUUGUUGAAGUAGCUGGAAUAAGUAGUGUAGCGGUGAAAUGCAUAGAUAUUACUUAGAACACCAAUUGCGAAGGCAGGUUACUAAGCAACAACUGACGCUGAUGGACGAAAGCGUGGGGAGCGAACAGGAUUAGAUACCCUGGUAGUCCACGCCGUAAACGAUGCUAACUCGUUUUUGGGUCUUUAAGAUUCAGAGACUAAGCGAAAGUGAUAAGUUAGCCACCUGGGGAGUACGUUCGCAAGAAUGAAACUCAAAGGAAUUGACGGGGGCCCGCACAAGCGGUGGAUUAUGUGGUUUAAUUCGAUGAUACGCGAGGAACCUUACCAAGGCUUAAAUGGGAAUUGAUGGGUUUAGAAAUAGACCGUCCUUCGGGCAAUUUUCAAGGUGCUGCAUGGUUGUCGGUCAGCUCGUGCCGUGAGGUGUUAGGUUAAAGUCCUGCAACGAGCGCAACCCCUGUCACUAGUUGCCAUCAUUUCAGUUGGGGACUCUAGUGAGACUGCCUACGCAAGUAGAGAGGAAGGUGGGGGAUGACGUCAAAUCAUCAACGGCCCUUACGCCUUGGGCCACACACGUAAUACAAUGGCCGGUACAGAGGGCAGCUACACAGCGAUGUGAUGCAAAUCUCGAAAGCCGGUCUCAGUUCGGAUUGGAGUCUGCAACUCGACUCUAUGAAGCUGGAAUCGCUAGUAAUCGCGCAUCAGCCAUGGCGCGGUG
rnacentral:rRNA from 1 species